AUUGAACGCUGGCGGCAGGCUUAACACAUGCAAGUCGAACGAGUGGCGGACGGGUGAGUAAUGUCUGGGAAACUGCCUGAUGGAGGGGGAUAACUACUGGAAACGGUAGCUAAUACCGCAUACCAUCGGAUGUGCCCAGAUGGGAUCAGCUAGUAGGUGGGGUAAAGGCUCACCUAGGCGACGAUCCCUAGCUGGUCUGAGAGGAUGACCAGCCAUCCUGGAACGGGGAAACGGUCCAGACUACUAGUGGAGGCAGCAGUGGGGAAUGUUGUACAAUGAGCUCAAGCCUGAUGCAACCAUGCCGCGUGUGUGAAGAAGGCCUUCGGGUUGUAAAGCACUUUCAGCGAGGAGGCAUUACUCGCAGAAGAAGCACCGGCUAACUCCGUGCCAGCAGCCGCGGUGAUAC
rnacentral:rRNA from 1 species